UCUGUAAUGCAACCAAUGCAGGUCACAAGUCCUGAUGAAAAAUGCAGAGUGCAGA
rnacentral:ribozyme from 2 species